UACAAACAGCUUUUGUUCUAUAGCAUUUUGAAAUAUAACAGGUAUAUUGAAAAGUCUGAUUCAGUUACAAUCAGUGUAUGGAAUCACAAGAAGAUCCAUAAGAAACAAGGUGCUGGAUUUCUCCGUUGUGUUCAUCUUCUUUCCAGUGCCAUCAACCACCUCAAAGACACUGGUUAUCAGAGGUUGGAUUUAUGCAAACCUGGGCCAAAGGACAGUUAGAAGACGUAAGUCUUCAGUCCAGAGACCAAAUUGGCACAGGAGGACAAGUUGUGGACUGCAGUCAUUUAUUUGAUAAUGAUUUACCAGACAACCUCAUCUAGUUGAAUCUGAAGAUGUGGACCUGCUGAUGAAGAGGGCUGAUUGUAUCUAACUUAGGGUCUUGCAUGCAGCUGGCACUUAAUGCAUUUUAUUGACUGUUUUAGCUAACAUUCAAUGGACA
rnacentral:lncRNA from 1 species